rnacentral:rRNA from 1 species
AGUGAACGCUGGCGGUAGGCCUAACACAUGCAAGUCGAACGGCAGCACAGUAAGAGCUUGCUCUUACGGGUGGCGAGUGGCGGACGGGUGAGGAAUACAUCGGAAUCUACUUUUUCGUGGGGGAUAACGUAGGGAAACUUACGCUAAUACCGCAUACGACCUACGGGUGAAAGCAGGGGAUCUUCGGACCUUGCGCGAUUGAAUGAGCCGAUGUCGGAUUAGCUAGUUGGCGGGGUAAAGGCCCACCAAGGCGACGAUCCGUAGCUGGUCUGAGAGGAUGAUCAGCCACACUGGAACUGAGACACGGUCCAGACUCCUACGGGAGGCAGCAGUGGGGAAUAUUGGACAAUGGGCGCGAGCCUGAUCCAGCCAUACCGCGUGGGUGAAGAAGGCCUUCGGGUUGUAAAGCCCUUUUGUUGGGAAAGAAAAGCAGCAGGUUAAUACCCCGCUGUUCUGACGGUACCCAAAGAAUAAGCACCGGCCAACUUCGUG